rnacentral:rRNA from 1 species
AUUGAACGCUGGCGGCAUGCCUUACACAUGCAAGUCGAACGGCAGCACGGGUGCUUGCCCCUGGUGGCGCGUGGCGAACGGGUGAGUAAUACAUCGGAACAUGUCCUGUAGUGGGGGAUAGCCCGGCGAAAGCCGGAUUAAUACCGCAUACGAUCCACGGAUGAAAGCGGGGGACCUUCGGGCCUCGCGCUAUAGGGUUGGCCGAUGGCUGAUUAGCUAGUUGGUGGGGUAAAGGCCUACCAAGGCGACGAUCAGUAGCUGGUCUGAGAGGACGACCAGCCACACUGGGACUGAGACACGGCCCAGACUCCUACGGGAGGCAGCAGUGGGGAAUUUUGGACAAUGGGCGAAAGCCUGAUCCAGCAAUGCCGCGUGUGUGAAGAAGGCCUUCGGGUUGUAAAGCACUUUUGUCCGGAAAGAAAUCCUUGACUCUAAUACAGUCGGGGGAUGACGGUACCGGAAGAAUAAGCACCGGCUAACUACGUG